UAGAAGGAAUGGGGCUCCCAGCAUGGAGGC
rnacentral:piRNA from 1 species